AAAUUCCGCUCGGAUGUCGAUUGGUCUCUCCUUCUCCAAUCUUGAUGCCAACUUCUAGCGCUUAUAUCUCCCUUUUCCACCAUUUAAUUAUUUUUAAAUUUUACUUGCAUAUAAGAAAUCCAAUCUUCUACUGAUAAAACCAAAAAUCUCUCCAAUCCAACUAGCAGAUUGCUAGAUAUCUAAGAAAACCUUACUGGUCUUCAAAAUCCUAAAUCUCGAGACCUUAGUCUACAAAAACCUUCAUAUAUAUAUAUCAAUCUAGCCAUUCGAUUGACCUCAAAUCUCUUACACACAUUCAAAACAAGCAUAAAAAUAAGUCUCUAAAAUUUCACUUAUAAAAAUGCUACAAAAGACAUGAAAACCAAAAAUUUGUAAACCGGGUUUAUUUCUCAAAGAUCUGAAUUCACAGAGAAUAUCACUCACUUUGAAAAUCCCUCAAAAAUCCAAUACUAAUCCAAACGAUACGAAAUUACCUCUCGAAAAUCCCUCCACAAGUCUUCUCUCUAAUUCGGCUCUCUGAUCUUUCCAAAGAAUCCUUGAGUCAUCAUCAAAGCAUAGUUUUGUGCCUCAGGGUUUGAUUUCAACCUAGGUUCAUAACCGGUCCUCUUCGGAUAUCAACUUUCGUCUUCUUGAGGUAAUUUUUACUAAUUUGCACUCCUAACUCCUCCCUACAUAUGUUUAUAUGUUUUAUUUUUCUAAUCUUCCUUGUUUUGUCUUAUUUAUGGCCUUACAAAGUAAAUAGAAGCAUAAUUUGUAAAAAAGCAACAUUAGCACCUUUAGUUUUUCUACCCUUUGACUAAUAUCUAUUUUUCCAAGAUAAUUUGCUAUAAUAUUUUUGAAGUGAGAUCUUCAAAAUAUGAUAUUUUCUUCAUCCUUUCGGUUGUUAGCUAUAUUACAUCACAACAACGUGCAAAUCAAGCCUUCCAAAAUAUGCUAUAAGCAUUUGUGGUGGUUCAUCAUAAUGAUUGAGAUAAAUACUUGAUGUCCUUGAAAUUUACUUAUAAUGAUAGUAUUCAAGAAAGUACCAAUCAUUCACCAUUUUUCCUUAAUAUUGGUCACCAUUCAAUUAUGCCUACAACUUUCCAUUAUCCUAUUGCCACCAACAACCUAAUAAUGGAAGAAUUUAUACAAUGACUUACAAUGGCCUUACAAGAGGCAUUAUACUGUCUCCUUACUAUACAAAAUUGAUAAAAAUAGUAUAUAAAUAAUCAUUGGCAAUACAAGACUUUUUGGGAGGGUGAUCAUAUAUUACUCUCUAAUGCCAACUUGCCACUUAUUACAUCAACCCAAAUCCAUAAACUAACACCUUAGUGGCUUCGAUCUUUCUACAUUUUUGUAGUGAUUUUUGAUGUCACAUAUCACCUCAAGCUUCCACCACAUAUUAAAGUCCAUCUAGUCUUCCAUGAUUUACAAUUGAAGAAAUUGCAUACUGAGCCAAAGUACUUUUUGGAUCGACAUCAACUACCACCACUACCAGUCGUAGUUGAUAACCAACAAUAAUAUGAAGUGGACAACAUUUUGGAGCAUCGCUACUUUUAUUGUCGUAGUAGACAUCUACAACUUUAAUACAAAGUUCUUUGAAAAGAUUAUCUUAUUUACAAUAUAAUGUAGAAACCUGUAUAAAAUUUCAUCCAUUGCCAAGAGAUAAUUUGAAGAUACCAUUGGGAGCAAAAUGAGGACGUUUCAUAUUAGUGGAGGAGGAUUAAUUGAAAUAGGAUAUAGGUAAGAUAAUUGUGUAGAUAGUUAGAACCAUUGAAGUUUUCAAAAUUAGGUUAGGUUAGUGGACCAGAUAGGAUCCAUUGUAGAACAUUCUAGAAAGAAUUUAUGAUAGUAAUUUAGGUGGGGCUUAUCAUAGAAUCUUUUAAAAAAAACUUAGGACAGCUAUAUAGGUAGAACCUACCAUAAAACCUUCUAGCAAAGAAGUUUAAUGUGAUUAUUUAAGUAGGAUCCACUACCUAAGAAUAUUUUAGAAAGUCAAGGAUAGUAGGAUAAGAUAUAAAUAAGAGUAGCUAGGGCUUUUUGGAGGCAUCUAGUGAGAUAUGGCUUUAUAUUCUUUUUCUUAGUAAAAUUUAGUUUUGUAUCUUUCUAUUCAAUUUUGUUUUGUUCUGUUUUUGUUUGCUUAAUUUUAUCUUUCAUGUCUUAUUAUGUUUAGUUCUAUUUAGUUUUGGUCUGGUUUGUUUUGUCCUAUUUAGUGAUGAAGCUUUAAGUUAUUGUGGAUUAGAAGGAUUUUGGGUUUUUGAGAUAGUCUAGUUCUAUUUCACUUUUAUUAUUGGAAUUUUUUUCUUUUUAUAAUUCUUUUUGAUGGUCUUUUAUUAUUUUUAUUUUUUUUUAUUUUUCUUCUAUUAAUGCUUCAUGUUGACUCUUUAUAAUAUGAACAUAAAUCAAUAAUCCAUCUACUAAAUUAUCUUAUAAAAUAAUUUAUCAAAUAUUAUUGCCAAUAUAUUUUAAAUGAUUUCUUAUAAAUUUCUUCUUUCAGCAUAAUUGAUUGUAUUUAACUAAAAAGAAUUAGAUUCUUUCGAAAAUUAAAGAUUUAUGUUUGAAUAUUUGCUAAGAUUGGCUUCUACCUAAUAUAUUGAUGCUUCAUUGCUUGAAAUUUAAAUGCUUCCCUUGUAAGCACAUUUAUUUUUAUUUUAUCAAAGUUUGUCUCUAAUUUUUUUUUACUCUGUUUUAAGUGCAUCAUAUCAUCUUUGAAAAAACAAAUUCUUUGCAUAGUGCCUCUAUAAAAACUUCACAUUUUCUUAUUAAAUAAUCCAUCCUAACACACCACAUAUACCUAUAUUCUACACCUUCUAUUGGUCCUAAUUUUUAUCUUAUUGAUACUCUUAAUGUUUGAUUUUUUUCUUAAGUUUUAAAAAUUUUAUUUGUAAAUCUUUCAUUUUUUUAUAUAAUUUCACCAAUUUUCAUUUCUUCAUUCUUUGUUGAAGUUUUUGAAGGUUUAAUCAUAGGUAUAAAAUGAUUAGUAGACAUUUUUAUCUUAAAUGUUUGUAAUGGUCUUUGAAUAUCUAUCUUGUCAUUUUUUUUUAAUAUUUUUAUAAGUAAUCCUAUUUUCUCUUCUACUUCUUUUCAAUUUGUUGUCAAUUAUUUUUUUUUUCUUUUUUAUCUUUAAGAAAAAUUUCCAACUUCUCUUACAACUCUCCAUCAAUUGCUUGAAGAAGCAGCUCCACUUUGCUUGGAUCUAAUAAUUAUCUCUCUUUCUUUGGUAAAUGAAAAUAUUAGCUUUUGAAUUCUUUUAAUAAUUUUUUUACUUAAAGAUCUUUCUUAGAUCUUUCAAUUUAUACAAAAAAAGACUUCUUUGUAAUCCAAUGACUAUCUUCUAAGAAAAAUUCAUCUGUCAAUUUCCCUUCAAAGUCACUUUAAGCCUCUAAAUUGCUUCCAUGCAAAUCUCUUACUUUCUUUUUAAUUUUAGAAAUGCAUGCCAACUCAAAGUUAGGAAUAUAGCGACUCUCAAGGACUUGAUGUAUCUCCAUUUCUCCUAUAUAUGCUUAGAGAAACUUAUUGAUGUCCCUUCUAUCAAACCUCUUAUAGUUAUUAACUAUGCUUUGCAAUGCCUUUGUCACCCUCUUCUCACUUGUACCUUUUGUUGUCUCUCCAUGAAUAUACACAAAGCUAAAAACAAAUCAUUAGUACUUGCUCUUCUAUUGUCACUUAUACGAGCCUCUUCAAAAUUGCAUAUCAUCUUUGAAUGUUAAAAAAUCUCUCACUUCCUCCUUUCUACUCUUGAACUUUUUUUCAUGCUCCAAGCUUGCAUCCUAGCUCUAUAACUCUAUUGUGCUCUACUUGUACUUUCAAUUGCCUUGAAGAUGCUCUUAGAUGUAGGAUCAAAUUUAUAUGAAGAAGGUAAGCUUCCUUGGAAGAAUACAUGGUCUUUGAUUGGAAGUGGAUUCUAAAGAAUACAAUAUUAUUCAAAUGAAGUCAAAUAUGAAAGAAUAGCCAAAGGCUAAGUACAAAAUUUAGAAUAAUUUCUUUCUUAUGACAAGAUGCAUCCAACCUAUAAUUCAAAUCUUAAAUUCAAACCUCAUCUUAUUUAAAUAUCUAUAAGUCAUUUAUUACUAAUUCAAUCUAGGUAAAGUCUAGCUUAUUGAGCUUAAUUUAAGAAAAAAAAUUCAAUUUAUUAAAAUCUAUAAAUAAAUUCUUAAAAAAUGAGUGUCAAAUCAAUGAGAAAAAAACUAGUUGCUUAUUGCAGUCACUACCCUCAAAACCU
rnacentral:lncRNA from 1 species